UACGUAGGGUGCAAGCGUUGUCCGGAAUUAUUGGGCGUAAAGAGCUCGUAGGCGGUUUGUCGCGUCUGCUGUGAAAACUCAGGGCUUAACUCUGAGCUUGCAGUGGGUACGGGCAGACUAGAGUGCGGUAGGGGAGACUGGAAUUCCUGGUGUAGCGGUGAAAUGCGCAGAUAUCAGGAGGAACACCGGUGGCGAAGGCGGAUCUCUGGGCCAUUACUGACGCUGAGGAGCGAAAGCGUGGGGAGCGAACAGG
rnacentral:rRNA from 1 species